UACAGAGGGUGCGAGCGUUAAUCGGAAUUACUGGGCGUAAAGCGAGUGUAGGUGGCUCAUUAAGUCACAUGUGAAAUCCCCGGGCUUAACCUGGGAACUGCAUGUGAUACUGGUGGUGCUAGAAUAUGUGAGAGGGAAGUAGAAUUCCAGGUGUAGCGGUGAAAUGCGUAGAGAUCUGGAGGAAUACCGAUGGCGAAGGCAGCUUCCUGGCAUAAUAUUGACACUGAGAUUCGAAAGCGUGGGUAGCAAACAGGA
rnacentral:misc_RNA from 1 species